GGUAGCCGUGUUAGUCUGGAUCUGUAAAAAGCGACAAAAAGGUGCCACAGGACUCUGUAGCUUCUUACCACAAUAAUGAAGAAGCCAGAUUGUUGAUGAGACAUUAGCAUUAAGACAAUGGGCUGUGGAAUAGUUUAACCUUCCUGAGAACACUCCAGACAGCCUGCAAGUAAUGGUUGCUAUUACUCAGCAAGGUAUGCAAGGGCAUGUGACCAGGCCACAUGACUCUGACCUCCAUUUUGGGAUGUCUGUUUUUCCACAAACUGGUCUGGGAACCAAGUUUGAAACAAAGGGUUGCCUCCCUAUGAAAAAACUAUAUAAGCCUGGGAGUGACAUCGUCUGUGGUUCUUCAUUCCCCCACAGCCGAACACCUAAGAGAAGCUCCCAAGGAAAAGGACUUGGGAUGGGAAUCCCAGGCUGCAAAGCAAAUGCAGCUUGUCCCUUAAGAAUCUGCAACCUUGCCUGUAUCAUCAGUCACGCAGCCAAUGGCAGAAAUGCAGGCAAUCCCUACUGAGAAGGCGGUUUGGAAUUCAGGGCUGAGUGAACGUGUGUCUGAAGUAGCCCAGCAGGAUGAAAGUGGGUCCGCGAGUUGCCGAGCAGGUGAAGUUCACUGAGGAAUAUUGCCUCCAACAAAGGGAGCAUGUGGAGGCCAGAUGUGUGAUGGAAAGAGAAACACGUUUAGGAGCAGUCAACUCCGACUUCACUCCACUGGCUCCAGGAAGAGGUCUAGCUCUCUGCUCCAAAGGAGGCAGGUUUGGUUGGAAGCGGAUCUGUGGGA